UACGUAGGGGGCAAGCGUUGUCCGGAAUUACUGGGCGUAAAGCGCGCGCAGGCGGUUUUUCAAGUCAGUGGUGAAAGCCCGGAGCUCAACUCCGGAAAUGCCAUUGAAACUGCAAAACUUGAGGACGAGAGAGGUGAGUGGAAUUCCCAGUGUAGAGGUGAAAUUCGUAGAUAUUGGGAAGAACACCGGUGGCGAAGGCGGCUCACUGGCUCGUUUCUGACGCUCAGGCGCGAUAGCGUGGGGAUCAAACAGG
rnacentral:rRNA from 1 species